rnacentral:rRNA from 1 species
UGCCAGCAGCCGCGGUAAUACGGAGGGGGCAAGCGUUGUUCGGAAUUAUUGGGCGUAAAGGGCAUGUAGGCGGUUUGGUAAGUUAAAGGUGAAAUACCAGGGCUUAACCCUGGGGCUGCUUUUAAUACUGCAGGACUAGAGUCCGGAAGAGGAUAGCGGAAUUCCUAGUGUAGAGGUGAAAUUCGUAGAUAUUAGGAGGAACACCAGUGGCGAAGGCGGCUGUCUGGUCCGGUACUGACGCUGAGGUGCGAAAGC